AUUGAACGCUGGCGGCAGGCCUAACACAUGCAAGUCGAGCGGAUGAGUGGAGCUUGCUCCAUGAUUCAGCGGCGGACGGGUGAGUAAUGCCUAGGAAUCUGCCUGGUAGUGGGGGACAACGUUUCGAAAGGAACGCUAAUACCGCAUACGUCCUACGGGAGAAAGUGGGGGAUCUUCGGACCCCACGCUAUCAGAUGAGCCUAGGUCGGAUUAGCUAGUUGGUGAGGUAAAGGCUCACCAAGGCGACGAUCCGUAACUGGUCUGAGAGGAUGAUCAAUCACACUGGAACUGAGACACGGUCCAGACUCCUACGGGAGGCAGCAGUGGGGAAUAUUGGACAAUGGGCGAAAGCCUGAUCCAGCCAUGCCGCGUGUGUGAAGAAGGUCUUCGGAUUGUAAAGCACUUUAAGUUGGGAGGAAGGGCAGUAAGUUAAUACCUUGCUGUUUUGACGUUACCAACAGAAUAAGCACCGGCUAACUUCGUGCCAGCCGCCGCCGUAAAAC
rnacentral:rRNA from 1 species